rnacentral:rRNA from 1 species
AGUGAACGCUGGCGGUAGGCCUAACACAUGCAAGUCGAACGGCAGCACAGUAAGAGCUUGCUCUUACGGGUGGCGAGUGGCGGACGGGUGAGGAAUACAUCGGACUCUACUUUUUCGUGGGGGAUAACGUAGGGAAACUUACGCUAAUACUGCAUACGACCUACGGGUGAAAGCAGGGGAUCUUCGGACCUUUCGCGAUUGAAUGAGCCGCUGUCGGAUUAGCUAGUUGGCGGGGUAAAGGCCCACCAAGGCGACGAUCCGUAGCUGGUCUGAGAGGAUGAUCAGCCACACUGGAACUGAGACACGGUCCAGACUCCUACGGGAGGCAGCAGUGGGGAAUAUUGGACAAUGGGCGCAAGCCUGAUCCAGCCAUACCGCGUGGGUGAAGAAGGCCUUCGGGUUGUAAAGCCCUUUUGUUGGGAAAGAAAAGCAGCAGGUUAAUACCCCGCUGUUCUGACGGUACCCAAAGAAUAAGCACCGGCUAACUUCGUG